AUCCAGCUGAUGAGUUCCAAAUAGGACAAAACACGCGUCCUGGAU
rnacentral:hammerhead_ribozyme from 1 species